UAUGAUUUGAUUGUUAACAUUCUGUGUGAAUAAAAUAGCAAUUUGUAGAGUUUUCUCUUCCUAGCUGUAACAUUCUUGUGGAGAAUUGUGAAGGCCUCUUUGUAAAAGAAAUUAAAAUAGAAUGCCUUAUGUUAUACACUGGCUCAUAACAGUCAAAUGAAAAAUUUUGGAAAACAAAUAAUUUGCAGUUUCUUUUUAAUAGCAUAAUUUCUGUAUGCAGCAGAGCAAACGUGGCCUUGUUUAUGCCGAGCUGAUACACAUCUCUGAAUCGCAGCCAAAGACAAUAGGAGCAUGAAAGAACCCUAAUGCAUACAGCUCAUUUCUGGUAUUUUUUAAUUUUAAGGAUUCUCAAGACUUCAGCAAACUGUUUAAAAAGUUACAUUCUCUGACAUGAUGGAGAAACUGAUGAUCUUUCUUAGAAAAAUCACCUCUGAAUCCACAGUGGAGGAACAAGAGUCUCCACUCAGUAGUUCACAGAAUGAUGCAGUGGAUACUUUAGUGGUAUCUCCAUCCAGGAUCAGGGGUGUGACCUCCCCACCAUUCCAUUAUCUGAAUGUUUCACCUGUUGCCCUUUUUUUACUUCAACAUCUAAAUGAUGAGGAAUGGGAUAAAGUUGAGGAUUGCAUGCACAGCUCUAUGACGAGAAGUCAGUUCGCCAGUCUGUGUACAGAUAUUUCAGAAUGGGUGUCAGAAGCUGCCAAAAGAAUUACCUUGCCAGCACUUGCUCUAGUACUGGAUGUCACCAUCACUGACAGCAGACCUUCCUCCCCCAUACCAAGUUCUGAAGAGUCUUCUUUGAAAUCAGCAGCCCAGACUACAUCGGAACUCUUAAAUGAGGAGUUAGUGGAAAAAGACACAGAGAGCAAAGCCAUCCCAGAACCCCUCCAAACUGUUGACAUUUCCAAAGCCACCCCAAGUCAGACUUCUUCAAUCAGCCUAACCAAAGAUUUAACCUCCCAAAAGUCUUCCUUCUGCUCUCUGACCUCGCCUUUGAAUGUUGUCUCAGCAGCAUAUGAAAUUGUAGAGUCUUUUAUGGAUGAACUGCAGAGCUAUCCAGAACCAGUCUUAUCUUCCCAUAGCAGAUCACAACUUGGAUCUGACAUUUUCCUCACUGAAAGUGGGACUGCUGGCAGAGAUGUGAUACAGUCUACGAGUAUUGCAUCAUCUAGUGGUUUAAAUGAAUUGAAUUUAACUGAAGCUCCUUGUCACCAAUUUUCCAAAAUGAUUUCACAUGACAGCAAGGCUGACUACAGAGCUCCAUUUUCUGCUGUUAGCUUUCCAUCGGAAAUUUUUGUCAAGCUCUCUGACAAGGAAUUCCAGAAAACAGCAAGACGAGCAGUGAGUGAAGUUCUCAGAUCAUCUAAGGUUGUUCAAAGUCAGAUAUCUGUUCCUUUAUUAACAGAGGACAUAGCUGGUGCAACAAGUGCUUCUGUUUCCUUAAAUAUUGAUGCAGUUGUUGAUUCUGCAGCAUCUGACAUUGUUGAAGUACUUGUUGAAGACCUUCAUGACUUAUCAGAAUCAGUUCGCUCAUUCACUCCACAAAGCAGCACCCUUUCUGAAUCUACAACUAUACUCAGGUUGCCUGCAUUAAGUGUGUUUAAAAGCUUGCAGAGAAAACUAAGAGACAUGUUCACCCUCCAUCCGUUGUCCUUUCCAAAAACCUCUCCUUCCCAAGUUCCCACUUCUGUGGAGUCUUGCAGUGCAGGAACAAGCAUUGACAGCUUUGAUUUGGAGGCAGACACUGCAAUUACAGGGACUGAACGCAUGGCUACAAAUAUUGUGGAUGUGAUCCUGAGUAGAAUUAGUCAAGAUGCAGAGCAGAUGGCAGAUUCCAAAUCACCUGAAGAGAGAAAGUUGGAGAUGCUUCUCUCUACAGAAACCAUACACCUUCUGUCAUCUGAGCUUGUUGACAAGGUGUAUCACCUCAUUAUGGAGGACAGCAGUGCCCUUCCUGUUUUGAGAAUAGCAGUCCACAGGAUCAAGUCUGACUCGGCACUUUUAAAGCCAGGAGGUAGUGGAAGGUUGGAGCUAGCAAGAGAAGCUUUCUCAGAACUAGUUUAUGCCUUCACAGAGAAGUGCUUGAAACAGCUCUUGGAAGAAUGCCUUCGUCUUCUUCCACAUGACUUAGCUAAAUGUGAAGAAGAUGUAGUUUCAGCCAGUGCAUCUGAAACUGAGGUUGCAUCCACAAGAAGUACAGAGAGAUGGAAUUUUGGACAAAGUUUGAUAUUCAGAACACUGAGGAGUAAGAAGAGCAAAGCGCAACCUUGUUCAGCAACUGAGGACUCCUGAUGAAAGUGCUAAAACAGUUCAAGGUACUGAACUUCCCUUGACCCACUCAAGUGAGAAGGAUCCACCAUCACCUUUACUACAGAAAAGGCAAUUUAAUCUUUACAAGUGCUGUAUCAACCAUCCAAAAUUCAAGGAACUCCAGAAUGCAUAUUUACAGAAGAGGACAAUAACAAAUAAACAAAAUGCACACAGGAUGUGUAGAAUUAGA
rnacentral:lncRNA from 1 species